GAAGAUGAGUCAACACAGUCCCUGCCCUCAAGGAGCUCCCAGCCUGGCCAGGGAGGAGACAUGGAGACAGAGAAAUGACAGGCAGUGAUAAGCGC
rnacentral:miRNA from 1 species